AGCCAUGCAUGUCUAAGCACAUGCCUUAAUACGGUGAAGCCGCGAAUAGCUCAUUACAACAGCCAUCGUUUACUAGAAAAUCGUUAUCCUACUCGGAUAACUGUGGCAAUUCUAGAGCUAAUACGUGCAAAAAAGCUCGUGCCGAAAGGAAUGAGCGCAUUUAUUAGAAUAAAAACCAAUCGGGUGGUAAAAAGCCCGCGUUUUGGUGAAUCUGAAUAACUUUGCCGAUCGCACGGUCUUAGUACCGGCGACGUAUCUUUCAAGUGUCUGCCUUAUCAACUGUCGAUGGUAGGUUAUACGCCUACCAUGGUAGUAACGGGUAACGGAGAAUAAGGGUUCGACUCCGGAGAGGGAGCCUGAGAAACGGCUACCACAUCCAAGGAAGGCAGCAGGCGCGCAAAUUACCCACUUCCAGAACGGAGAGGUAGUGACGAAAAAUAACGAGACAGUCCUCUUCGAGGUCUGUCAUCGGAAUGGGUACAAUUUAAAUCCUUUAACGAGGAUCUAUUGGAGGGCAAGUCUGGUGCCAGCAGCCGCGGUAAUUCCAGCUCCAAUAGCGUAUAUUAAAGUUGUUGCGGUUAAAACGCUCGUAGUUGGAUCUGCGGCCUGGGAGAACGGUCCCCCGAAAGGGUGGUAACUGUUACUCUUAGCCUAAAUUUUUAGUCCGCUCUAUAGUGCCUUUAAUCGGGUGCUUAGAGUGACUAGAACGUUUACUUUGAAAAAAUUAGAGUGCUUAAAGCAGGCGAAAUCGCCUGAAUAAGGUGCAUGGAAUAAUGGAAUAGGACCUCGGUUCUAUUUUGUUGGUUUUCGGAGCCUGAGGUAAUGAU
rnacentral:rRNA from 1 species